rnacentral:rRNA from 1 species
GAUGAACGCUGGCGGCGUGCUUAACACAUGCAAGUCGAACGGAAAGGCCCUGCUUUUGCGGGGUGCUCGAUAGGCGAACAGGUGAGAAACACGUGAGUAACCUCCCCUUGACAGUGGGAUAACUUCAGGAAACUGGGGCUAAUAUAGGAUAUGAGCUCCUGCUGCACAGUGGUGGUUGGAAAGAUUCGGCGUUUGUGGAUGGACUCGCUGCUUAUCAGCUUGUUGGUGUGGUAGGUGCUGCCCAAGGGUUUGACGGGUAGCCGGCCUGAGAGGGUGACCGGCCACAUUGGGACUGCGAGACGGACCAGACUGCUACGGGAGGCAGCAGUGGAGAGUAUUGCAGAAUGAGCGGAAGUCUGAUGCAGAAGCGCCGCGUGCGGGAUGACGGCCUUCGGGUUGUGAACAGCUUUCGCAUGUGACGAAGAGUGAGUGACGGUAAUGGGUAAAAAAGCAACGGCUAACUACGUA